rnacentral:misc_RNA from 1 species
UACAGAGUGAGCGAGCGUUAAUCGGAUCUACUGUGCGUAAAGCGAGCGUAGGCGGUUUUUUAAGUCGGAUGUGAAAUCCCCGAGCUUAACUUGGGAAUUGCAUCCGAUACUGGGAAGCUAGAGUAUGGGAGAGGAUGGUAGAAUUCCAGGUGUAGCGGUGAAAUGCGUAGAUAUCUGGAGGAAUACCGAUGGCGAAGGCAGCCAUCUGGCCUAAUACUGACGCUGAGGUACGAAAGCAUGGGGAGCAAACAGG